UUUUUUCUGUCUUGGAACAACAGCCUGUCUGAUCCAACCAGUGCGCGUUGACUGUAAUGUUCAAACAAGGCGGGGCUGACCCUCCUGUCUUAUUUUGGACUGACCACAAGUAGGAUAUCGCGGACACUGCUGCUGCUGCUGUUGUUGCUGCUGCUGUUGUUUUAUGAUCAAGUCAUGAAUUCGGCCGAACAGACGGUAACGUGGCUCAUAACACUGGGGGUCCUAGAGUCUCCCAAGAAAAGCAUCUCGGAUCCAGAGGCUUUCCUCCAGGCGUCUCUGCAGGAUGGAGCGGUGCUGUGCAGGCUGCUGGAGCGACUCCGAGUCGGGACGGUGGACAAAUUUUUUCAGGAACCGAGGGGCGACAACGAGUGUCAGAGGAACAUUACCGAGUUUAUUAAAGGCUGCGGGGCUUUCGGUGUGGAGCCUUUUGAGGUCAAUGACCUCCUGCAGGGACUGAACUUCUCCAAGGUCCUAAACUCCUUGGUUGCCCUCAACAAAGCUACUGAAGAUUUAGGUGUUUCUGAAGACAGUGUGUGUGUGCCGCUCUCCUCACACUUGAGGAUCAAGUCAUUUGACUCUCUGAACACUCAGAGUCGCUCCUCAAAAGUCCUGCAGCCUCAGUACCGCAGCCUGGACAUGUCAGAGGGCAGUGGGUGUGGCCACGUGCUGUUCAAGGCGCGCUUUCCUUUCCAGCAGACCAAUGAGGACGAACUCUCUUUCUCCAAGGGCGACAUCAUCAGUGUGAGCCGGCAGGAGGAUGGGGGCUGGUGGGAAGGCUCAUUCAACGGCAAUUCUGGGUGGUUCCCCAGUAACUAUGUACGGGAGCUGAAAGGAAGCGACAAGACAUCAGACAAGCCAAAGUCUGGGACACUGAAAAGCCCCCCCAAAGGUUUUGACACCACCAUCAUCAGUAAGACUUACUACAAUGUGGUCCUACAAAACAUCCUGGAAGCAGAGAGUGAAUAUUCGAGGGAGCUACAGAGUCUCCUGGGCUCCUACCUGCGCUCACUUCAUCCCACAGACAAACUCAGCAGUGUUGACAUCAGUCACAUUCAGGGAAAUCUGGAGGAGAUCUCAACCUUUCAGCAGAUGUUGGUUCAGUCUUUGGAGGAGCAUACAAAACUCCCAGAGAACCAGCAGAGGAUCGGGGGGUUCUUCCUGAAUCUGAUGCCCCAGAUGAAGGUCAUCUAUGUGGCCUACUGCUCCAACCACCCGUUUGCAGUCAAUGUACUCACGCAACACAGCGAGGAACUGGGGGAGUACAUGGAGUCAAAAGGGGCGUCCGCUCCUGGGAUCCUCACUCUGACCACUAGUCUGAGUAAACCCUUCACCAGACUGGAGAGAUACCCGACGCUGCUGAAAGAACUGGACAGACAUAUGGAGGACCAACACCCUGACAGAGCUGAUCUCAUUGCUUCAAUGAUGGACUUUAAAAGCUUUGCAGCUCGGUGCCAGGAGGUGAGGAAGAAGAAGGACCUGGAGUUGCAGAUUUUAACAGAGCCAAUCAGAAACUGGGAGGGGGAUGACAUCAGAACUCUCGGCCCUGUUCUCCAAAUGUCCCAGGCCACAGUCCACACGCAGAACUGUCAGGAGUCAAAUGAACGCUACCUCGUCCUCUUCCCUCACACUCUGCUCAUGCUCUCUGCCAGCCUGAGAAUGAGUGGAUUCAUCUUCCAGGGAAGGAUGCCACUGUCAGGAAUGCUCAUCUCCAGAAUAGAAGACGGAGAAAACCUGAAGAAUGCUUUUGAAAUAUCCGGUGGCCAGUGUGAUCGGAUGCAGGUGGCAUGUAAUAGUCAGCAAGAUCUACAGGACUGGCUGGACCUUCUCACCAAACACACACACACUUCGGCUGCGCACACACACUUGCACAAGCCUCAGUCCGUGUGUCACACAUUGCCCUCUCAACCCGCCACUCCCUCCAGACACUCAGAGUCUCGUGGAGGGAGCAUUGGAAACACUUACCACACCCUUCCUCAUCCCUCUUCAUAUGGGACGGCCCUCAGCAGCAGCCCGAUGUGGGGGCCCCUGGAGCCACCGAGUACCCCUAAACCCUGGAGCCUUAGCUGCCUUCGCCCUGCACCUCCACUCCGGCCCUCGGCUGCGCUCUGCUUCAAGGAGGAUAUGAGUAAGAGUCCUAAGAACAUGAAGAAGCUGCUCCCUAAGAGGAAGCCAGAGAGGAAACCUUCAGAAGAGGACUUUACUGUCAGAAAAAGUACAGCAGCUCUAGAGGAGGACGCUCAGAUACUGAAAGUGAUUGAGGCCUACUGUACCAGCGCUAAGACACGACAGACGCUCAACUCCACCUGGCAAGGAACUGACCUCAUGCACAACCAUGUACUCGCUGACACCAGCCUCACCGUCGCUGGUUUCCCCAGCAACCUGCCUUGUUCUGACCAGUCAGAGGACUCGGAUUAUGACAGUCUCUGGACCGCCCAUAGUUACAGGACUGCCUCAUUUUCUCGCUCCAGCAGGAAGGACGUACAGAUGUUGUUCCCAGAGGAGGAGAAGAUUAUAGUGGAGGAGACCAGGAGCAAUGGACAAACAGUAGUGGAGGAGAGGUGAGAGAGGAGAGAUGAAGGAGUCUGGUGGACACUGUGUACAGUCUGAAAGAUGAGGUCCAGGGACUCAAACAGGACAACAAGAGGAUGAAGAGGACACUGGAGGAGGAGCAGCGGGCGAGGAAAGAGCUGGAGAGGAUUGUCAGGAGAGUUCUGAAGAACAUGAACGACCCAACCUGGGAUGAGACCAACCUCUGAGAUCAAUAUAUGUGUGAUCAUCAUGGACGAGACCAAUUUCUGACUUUAAAGUGACCAAAUGAACUAUGAACUGUUGUUCAACCUGUGUGUGGACAAAAGCUGCCAAUACUUCAUUCAACAUGUCGUCACCAUUUUUACUUGCUUUGACCAGUGUACCAAACUGUGGACCAAGAGAAAAUGUCUGCCAGCCAUCAGCAAAGCCAUCCCAACUGACCGUAAAGCUGUGAAGCCACAUUUGCUGGUAGGCAUGAUGACAUCACUUCCUGUCACUCUCCUUUACUUUUUCAAACAGCCUUCUUUGAAACACUGACAAACAAAUCACUUUUCUCAUCUACUUUUGUAAUUAUCUUUCAUUCCUCUUUGUGCUUUUUUUGCAUUAAGUAUGACAUUUAAAAUGUAACCAUUG